rnacentral:tRNA from 1 species
GCCUGGCUAGCUCAGUCGGUAGAGCACGAGACUCUUAAUCUCGGGGUCAUAGGUUCGAGACCCACGUUGGGCG